UACGGAGGGUGCAAGCGUUAUCCGGAUUCACUGGGCUUAAAGGGUGCGUAGGCGGGCAUGUAAGUCCGUGGUGAAAUCUCCGAGCUUAACUCGGAAACUGCCAUGGAUACUAUGUAUCUUGAAUGUUGUGGAGGUGAGCGGAAUAUGUCAUGUAGCGGUGAAAUGCUUAGAUAUGACAUAGAACACCAAUUGCGAAGGCAGCUCACUACACAAAUAUUGACGCUGAGGCACGAAAGCGUGGGGAUCAAACAGG
rnacentral:rRNA from 1 species